AGAGUUUGAUCAUGGCUCAGAACGUACGCUGGCGGCACGCCUAACACAUGCAAGUCGAACGAAGUAGCAAUACUUAGUGGCAGACGGGUGAGUAACAUGUAGGUAUCUGCCCUUUGGCCUGGAAUAACACGAGGAAACUUGUGCUAAUACCGGAUAAGUCUUUACGGAGAAAGCUUUAUGCACCAUUGGAUGAGCCUGCACUUGAUUAGUUUGUUGGUGGGGUAAUGGCCUACCAAGACUGUGAUCAAUAGCUGAUUUGAGAGGAUGAUCAGCCACAUUGGGACUGAGACACGGCCCAAACUCCUACGGGAGGCAGCAGUGGGGAAUCUUGCACAAUGGAGGAAACUCUGAUGCAGCGAUGCCGCGUGAGUGAAGAAGGCCCUUGGGUUGUAAAGCUCUUUCGUCGGGGAAGAAAAUGACUGUACCCGAAUAAGAAGGUCCGGCUAACUUCGUGCCAGCAGCCGCGGUAAUACGAAGGGACCUAGCGUAGUUCGGAAUUACUGGGCUUAAAGAGUUCGUAGGUGGUUGAAAAAGUUAGUGGUGAAAUCCCAGAGCUUAACUCUGGAACUGCCAUUAAAACUUUUCAGCUAGAGUAUGAUAGAGGAAAGCAGAAUUUCUAGUGUAGAGGUGAAAUUCGUAGAUAUUAGAAAGAAUACCAAUUGCGAAGGCAGCUUUCUGGAUCAUUACUGACACUGAGGAACGAAAGCAUGGGUAGCGAAGAGGAUUAGAUACCCUCGUAGUCCAUGCCGUAAACGAUGUGUGUUAGACGUUGGAAAUUUAUUUUCAGUGUCGCAGGGAAACCGAUAAACACACCGCCUGGGGAGUACGACCGCAAGGUUAAAACUCAAAUGAAUUGACGGGGACCCGCACAAGUAGUGGAGCAUGUGGUUUAAUUCGAAGAUACGCGCAGAACCUUACCAACACUUGACAUGUUCGUCGCGACUCUAAGAGAUUAGAGUUUUCGGUUCGGCCGGACGAAACACAGGUGCUGCAUGGCUGUCGUCAGCUCGUGUCGUGAGAUGUUGGGUUAAGUCCCGCAACGAGCGCAACCCUCACUUUUAGUUGCCAUCAUUAAGUUGGGCACUCUGAAAGAACUGCCAGUGAUAAGCUGGAGGAAGGUGGGGAUGACGUCAAGUCCUCAUGGCCCUUACGUGUUGGGCUACACACGUGCUACAAUGGUAUCUACAACAGGAAGCGAAACUGCGAAGUUAAGCAAAUCCCUAAAAGAUACCUCAGUUCGGAUUGCACUCUGCAACUCGAGUGCAUGAAGCUGGAAUUACUAGUAAUCGUGGAUCAGCGUGCCACGGUGAAUGCGUUCCCGGGUCUUGUACACACCGCCCGUCACACCAUGGGAGUUGGUUCUACCUUAAGGCAAGGUUUUAAACCCUUGACCACGGUAUAGUCAGCGACUGGGGUGAAGUCGUAACAAGGUAGCCGUAGGGGAACCUGCGGCUG
rnacentral:rRNA from 1 species